UGGUAUAUCAAUCAAUCGAUCACCAUGUUCCGGUUUCAAAGCACGAUGGCUUUGGUCCUGCCACUGCUGCUGGUGGCCAUGCAAGGCGGCGUCCAUGCCAGCUACCAGGGCAACAUGUUCCUGAAUGGCCAAUACCAGAACCAGAUCAAGCAGCAACCCGAAACGCACUUCUCAGUGAAUCCCUCGACGAAUGUCUUUCUGCAUCAUGCUGUGAUCAGCCGGCAGGCAUCGCCCUUCCAGGCACCCACAUACCUGCCGCCACCGGAGCUGCUCAAGUGCUACAAUGGCCAGCAGUGCGUGCGCAAGGAUCAGUGCCAGAAUGGCUACUACAGCCAGCAGCUGCCCAAGAUUCAGAACUGUCUGCCCGAGUCGAACAUCUGCUGCACGUAUCGCCCGCCAGUAACCACCACCACGACGACAACGACCAGGAGAACGACCACACCUGUGCCGUAUGACACCUGUCGCAGUGACCAGGACUGUGUACAGUCGCAAGACUGCAGCAAUGGCGAAAUCGUCGCCCCACGCUAUAUCAAAACGCAGCAGCCCAAUCGCUGUUAUGCUCCAGAGGUUUGCUGCCGCAUGCCCGCGACGGCGCUGUCCGACACUGGUUACAUCUUGAAAGUGCCCAAUAAGGCCUUCCCGCUGCCCACCAAUCCCACCCUGCCAGCCGUGCGCGUAACCCAGCCCAAUUACCGUCCACAGCCCACUACUACGCCCGCACCACGCCCCACAAACAAUUACCUGCCGCCUGAGACGACGCGUCGCCCAACACCCAGCCCGACCCCAUAUCGGCCAGUGACCACGACACCUCGCCCCAUCAACGAGUACCUGCCCCCCGUGAAGGCCAAUGAGAUUCCACACCGCGAGCCACGCCCCACUCAGCCACCCACACGCUACGAGCCCGAUCGUGUGCCACAGCCAUCGAAUCCGAAGCCCGUGUACCGCGGCGAGGAUCAACUCUCGCCCCAGAUCUUCCCCACGCCCAAGGGCUUCGACAAUUUGCCCGGCACUAACGACGUCUUCCCCAAGUACUAUGCCAAAUGCGCCUCUGCGCUCGUCUGCACCCCGGAGAACUACUGCAAUGCGCUCGGCGUGCUGAGCGAAACCCCGCUGACGCUAAGCGCCCGGGAGGCUGCGUUCCGUGUGCCACUCACCGACUGCCUGGUACCCGAGACUGGAGCGCCCGGCAAGUGCUGUCGCGAUCCCAACUACGUUGAUCCCUGGCCCAUCACUCCGGGUGGCUUCUGCAGCAUUCGCAACAGGCGCACCAAGCCCAAAGGCAUAAAGGACAUUGAUGCCAACUUCGCUGAGAUUCCAUGGCAAGCAAUGAUUUUGCUCGAAUCGACCCAGAAGCCACGCUGCGGCGGUGCCAUCAUUGGCGACGAAUUCAUCCUCACCUCGGCCAGCUGUGUGGCUAACCUGUCCGUCAGCGAUGUGCGCAUUAAGGGCGGCGAAUGGCAGCUAGGCAUCACCGAUGAGCCGAUGCCAUUCCAGCUGAUUGGCGCCAAGUCCAUUGAUGUGCAUCCCGACUACGAUCCAAAAACUGGGUCCAAUAACAUGGCCAUCAUACGCCUGGAAAGACGGUUCCAGUUCGCCACUCACAUUGGCCCCAUCUGCAUCAGCAAAGAUGAUCCCGAAGAGAAUGAGCAGUGCGUGACCACUGGCUGGGGCCAGCGGGCGUUGAAAUAUCACGAGGAGGGCGCCAUUAUGCACGUGACUGAGACGAUAAAGCAGUCCCGUGCCUCUUGUGGUGCUGAUGCCACCAGUGUCUGCAGUGCCACCAAGUUCGAUGCGUGCGAAUUCGAUGAGGGCAGCGCGCUCGCCUGCAGCACCGGCUCCGCUGUCUAUCUCAAGGGUAUCUACAGCGCCGAGCAGAACUGCGGCGAGAACCAAACUGUGAGCUUCUCGAAGCCCGACAUCAAAUGGAUAAACCAGGCAUUCACGGAACGCAACAAGCCCAUACUGCUCAGGCGCUUCUAGAGCUCCCAGCAGAGCUUCUUUUUUACAAACAGACGAUGAAGAAGAGGACCGAGACGUUGAUGUUGAAGAAAACAGAAAGAGAUGAUUGUAGAUUGAUUUCAAAUAGACGACGAGACAAUUCUUUCCAACUGUUUGUAUUUUAAAUGGUAUAGAGUCCAGCAAGUUGUAAAAUAUUUAAUUAUAAGCCUAGGUUCUACGUACAAGCUCGACGAAUUGCCAAGACGAAAAAAAGAAGAGUAAAGAAAA